rnacentral:rRNA from 1 species
CCUACGGGAGGCAGCAGUGGGGAAUAUUGCGCAAUGGGCGAAAGCCUGACGCAGCGACGCCGCGUGAGGGAUGAAGGUCUUCGGAUCGUAAACCUCUGUUAGCAGGGAAGAACGGUCACUGUGCUAAUCAGCAGUGAAUUGACGGUACCUGCAAAGGAAGCACCGGCUAACUCCGUGCCAGCAGCCGCGGUAAUACGGAGGGUGCGAGCGUUAAUCGGAUUUACUGGGCGUAAAGCGCUCGUAGGCGGUAUGUCAAGUCAAGGGUGAAAUCCCCGCGCUCAACGUGGGAACUGCCUUUUAAACUGGCAAACUGGAGUGUGUGAGAGGAUAGUGGAAUUCGAGGUGUAGGAGUGAAAUGCGUAGAUAUCUGGAGGAACAUCAGUGGCGAAGGCGACUAUCUGGCACAUAACUGACGCUGAGGAGCGAAAGCGUGGGGAGCAAACAGGAUUAGAUACCCCAGUAGUC